CAGUCGCCACGGUAAUACGAGGGGGGCAAGCGUUGUUCGGAAUUAUUGGGCGUAAAGGGUGCGUAGGCGGUUUGACAAGUUCUGUGUGAAAUCUUCAGGCUCAACUUGAAGUCUGCGUGGAAAACUGUCCGGCUGGAGUAUGGCAGAGGGGGGUGGAAUUCCACGUGUAGCAGUGAAAUGCGUAGAGAUGUGGAGGAACACCGAUGGCGAAGGCAGCCCCCUGGGCCGAUACUGACGCUCAUGCACGAAAGCGUGGGGAGCAAACAGGAUUAGAUACCCCCGUAGUCCCUGUCUCUUAUAC
rnacentral:rRNA from 1 species